GACGAACGCUGGCGGCGUGCUUAACACAUGCAAGUCGAACGGAAAGGCCCUGCUUUUGUGGGGUGCUCGAGUGGCGAACGGGUGAGUAACACGUGAGUAACCUGCCCUUGACUUUGGGAUAACUUCAGGAAACUGGGGCUAAUACCGGAUCGGAGCUCCUGCUGCAUGGUGGGGGUUGGAAAGUUUCGGCGGUUGGGGCUGGACUCGCGGCUUAUCAGCUUGUUGGUGGGGUAGUGGCUUACCAAGGCUUUGACGGGUAGCCGGCCUGAGAGGGUGACCGGCCACAUUGGGACUGAGAUACGGCCCAGACUCCUACGGGAGGCAGCAGUGGGGAAUAUUGCACAAUGAGCGGAAGCCUGAUGCAGCAACGCCGCGUGCGGGAUGACGGCCUUCGGGUUGUAAACCGCUUUCGCCUGUGACGAAGCGUGAGUGACGGUAAUGGGUAAAGAAGCACCGGCUAACUACGUG
rnacentral:rRNA from 1 species